rnacentral:rRNA from 1 species
AGCAGCCGCGGUAAUUCCAGCUCCAGUAGCGUAUAUUAAAGUUGUUGCAGUUAAAAAGCUCGUAGUUGAAUUUCGGGGUUCUACCGUUGGUCGGGCAUUGUCUGUACUGGCGUGUGGAAUUUCUACCUUCUGGGGAACCAUCAUGUUAUUAAUUUAGCGUGGUGGGAAACCAGGACCUUUACCUUGAAAAAAUUAGAGUGUUCAAAGCAGGCUUACGUCUGAAUACAUUAGCAUGGAAUAAUAAAAUAGGACGGUGGUCCUGUUUUGUUGGUUUCUGAAUCGCCGUAAUGAUUAAUAGGGAUAGUUGGGGGCAUUAGUAUUCAAUUGUCAGAGGUGAAAUUCUUGGAUUUAUUGAAGACUAACUUCUGCGAAAGCAUUUGCCAAGGAUGUUUUCAUUAAUCAAGAACGAAAGUUAGGGGAUCGAAGACGAUCAGAUACCGUCGUAGUCUUAACCAUAAACUAUGCCGACUAGGGAUCGGACGAUGUUAAUUUUUCUUGACUCGUUCGGCGCCUUACG